CAACCUCUUACAAACCAAGAACAGCAACACUAGGAUUGAGAAAACUAUAGCUAACGAAUAAUAGAUGUAGAAUCUCCAAACACGAACUUCAAAACCCCGCACUUUUAUUCUUCUUCUCGUUCUUCAAAACCUACGUCUAGGAUUUAACAUUUUUUAUUUUUUAUGUAUUUAUCUCCAAGAAUGUCUACUCUUUUUAAUAAAUAAGACUUAGGUAUAUAUAGGUGUGGGGUUCAUAAAAUCAUAGAAUUUUCAUGUGUAUUUUGAACAACAUUAAUCUUCAAGUCUCCUUAAACAGAUACAACUUUGCGGGCUCAGGGGAGAGUUUUGCUCGAGUGAGCCUUGCUUAGCUCUAGUGAAAAUCAAGAUUUCUCAAUUUCUCAUUCUUCACUUGAAUGAGAGAGAGAUGGACAUUUUUUUCUGGUUUUACUCAAGGGAAAGUAAUUUCGCUCGGGCAAAAUUAUUUAGGGUCCGUUUGAUAGCAUUAAAUUCCAUGAAAAAUGUCACAUCCGAGAAAUUCGUUUUCUACUUUGGCUGUUUGAUACUAAAGCGAAAAUAAAGUUCGAAUUCCAAAGUACAAAUAUUUAAAGUAUGUUUUUGGCUAAUUGAGUGGAAAUCGAAUUCUUAUAAUUUUGGUAGUUUUUUCUUUUCCAUCUUACAUGGAAUUGGUUUACAUUUUCUACCUUUACGAUCAAACGGACUCUUUGCUCCAAAAUGUUACGUAUCACUUUCUUAUCUUCUUCAGCCUUUGGGAACUCGACUUUUUUCCUUGCCAACUUCGUCCUCACUUGAAUAUACUCAUUUCUUCUCAUCUUCAUCAUAUUUAUCAUCAAUGAUCCUCGAGCUCAAGUUUCUCCUAAAACAACAACAUUGAACCAAAAAUCAACAGAAAUCGAAUCCUACACACUAACAAAGUACUGUAACAAGGUUGAGAAAAGUGUAGAUUUUACCGUUAUCAGUAUCUCCACAACUUUUGAUUUGAUUCACGAUCUGAAACUGGUGUAGAGAAAUAGCCAACUUUUUCGCUUUUUUCCAUGUUUAGAUUGUCAAAAUCCUUCCAAAACGAUUGAGGCUUCAGAGUAAUUGCUUGACUAUUCCAAUAAUGUAAUUGUUCUCCUUCAAAAAUAAGAGUAGAAGGCAGAAUUUGAUGCCAUUUGGCUGAAUUUUUAUAUAAUAAUUCAAAUAAAUUGAAGCUGCUCCUUCACUGGCACUACAAGAUUUAGGCAGAAAAAAUCGCUGGCGGUGCAAGGUCCAAAUUUUUUAUCAAGCGACACAUUCCACAAAGAAUAACAUUUACUGAAUUUUAAAAUUCAAAAAUCUGCUAGGAUACAUUUUUUAAAUCCUUCCUGCGUUCUAUACCAAAUUUAUUGAUUAGUUGGGUAAAAUUGAUUAUCACUUGGAUCAGAUAGGUUAAAAACAAAACCCUUCGUGUCCACCAAUUCCCUCCUUCAAAAUGAAUAGUGAUGCCAUGAAUAAAUGGCACUGAAGCUUAAUCAAAAUUCUCGGAACUCCGAGUCUGAAAUGCAUUAUUCUUGAAAUGGUUUCUCCUUGCAAUUAAAAACAACAAAGUGCAUUGAAGUUUGGGUUGGGGUGGGAGGAUAGAAUCUACUUUUAAGCACAGUCUGAGCACAAUGUCUCUUCCUCUUUUUCUCUUUUUAUUCUUUUUAGACAAAGCUGAUUUAUAGGGGGAAUGUUCUGGUUAGUGCAUACUAGCUAGGCUGUGGAGUUGAUGGGUAGGGUUUGUGUUUGGGAGAUGAUUAAGUGAUUGAAUCAUUGCCAAAUCCAAUUGGUCUGAGGAUAUCUUCAAAGUAAUCACUUUUUCUUUAUGUCAGAAUCCCAACUAUCCUUUUGACCUGCAUUGACUGUAAAAUUUACCCUACCUACCAACUAAAGAAAAAGAUGCAAAUAGCACUGCAUGUAUUUUAUUUUAGUGGGUGAGAGAGAGAAUGGGGAGAGAGAAGAGACAGAGUGGGAUCAUUUCUUAGAUUUUAUUUUGUUCAUUGAAAAAAAAAAAAAACGAUAAAAAUCGAUAGGUUCAUGGAUGCCAUGAAUUCUUGAGAAAGACCAUAUUUUCUGUGGUCCGCUCAUCUAUUUCUUUAUAUUAAUAUGGCUUUAACUCGAAAUUGAGUGAUUUAAUAAAAAGAUGACAACUUCAUUUCUUAGUAAAAUGAGAUUCCCUAGUUACAGAAAAGCCACAAUCACGGUUGCAAUUCCCUUUUGCUUUCUCAUAUUAGUUGCUUAAGCCCUGCCCAUACAUACACAAGACGGCCAAAUACACGUUUAUUGGCUAAGCGCUAUCCCAAAUUCUAUGCAGAUGAACCUAAACUUUUAAGUACAUCUACCUCUCUAUUAUAUCUACAUAUUAACCUAGAAAGUCAUGAACUCAUCCAAUUGACUAUGUGGCAUAUGGUAGUACUCCAUCAUAGCCGUAUACAUCUGUGGAUGCACAGCUAUCUAUACUAUUUCAGUAAAAAGAAUAUAAAAUAUACAUUGUCCUUUGGCCUCUUUUAUCAAUGUAAUAAAGUAAAGAGGGAUUAGAUGAACUUGAACAAGGUUGAUGCUAUACAGCCACCAUUAUAUAUUUCAUGGGACUCACAUUUUUAUCAAGUCAUAACCAUGUAUUUUAUCAAUUUUUAUCAAAAUCUAUUAAAUAUCUUAUUUUUAUCAAAACCACUAACACAUUAGACACAACAAUGAAAAAAAGUUCAAGGAAAUGGUGCACCAAGAUGAUAAUACAACAGAGAUUUCUAUCAAAAUGAUGUACUGUAAAGUGACUGGGUAUCAUAAGAUUUGUAACUUUCAUGUUGUCUGUUUAUAAAGAAUGAGGAUACCCUUAACGGAACAUGAACAACAUAUAAUUGUGCAGGCAGCACAGGCUCCUUGUUCCUCGUGAAGUGAUUUGACACAAGUCUAAUGGAAAACUGUCGUGUAAUUCUCUGUCAGAUGGAAUCAUUUUCCCAUAAGCAUAUUUCACUUUCAUUCUUACGACUCUAGAUCAUUUUCUGCAGCUAACAUAUGUUUUUUAGUAACAAGAUAAUAUUUGAUAAACAAAAAUUUCAAGACUUAUUACAUAAAAGAUGGAAAGAAGAUUAAGGGAUUACUUGGAUUUAAUUAAAUUUAUUUAUCUUCCAUGAAAAUAUAAUACAAUUGUAGCGAAGACGAUAGAAGCGAGGCAUAGAGAAAGAGAGUUACCGUGUAUACGAUAUGUGAAUAUGCUUGGCUCCUCAUACGCCAUACACGGAGGGCCAUCGGUUCUUCGGUGGGCUCUGCAAAUGGCAUACAGGGAGCCAGGCAUAUACGUAUACUUGGACAUUUGUAGUACACAAACUGUUUAUACAUUCUUAUGAAACCUAGUUAGUGUGUGUAAAUCUCAUAUGCAAAAUUUCACUCUAUAGAAUAGCAGCCGAAGGUGGUAAUUCAUCGGGUUUUGCUAGGUACAUAUAUUUGAAGAUUCAAGAAAGAGGAAGAGCUUUGGAGGAUCAAAAUUGGGUCAAAUUAAAGAAGAAAGAAAACCCUAUAACCCCUUCAAUCCUUUUGAAAAGAACCACCAAACCCUUUUGAAAAACAAGCACGGCUAAAUAAACUAGUGGCUCACACAAAAAACGUAUGGAAAGAAUUAGGUUUGUGGGUACGAAGUUGUAUCCAAGGGUGCCACUAAAUAUAGAAGUACACAGUGAGAAAGAUGGAGGUAGGUUGGGGGUGGGGUGGAGUGAGGUUGAGGGGGAAAAUCAGGGUUGUAAAGCAAAUGUUACUUUUCUCUUCUGAAGCUC
rnacentral:lncRNA from 1 species